rnacentral:rRNA from 1 species
UGGGCGCGCCCUCACGGGGCGGGCGCGGCGGCGGCCUGGGGGGGAGUUUUUCUGCUUUGCGGCGUGCGCGGGGGGCCAUUUGGGGGCGCUGGCUUGCGCAGGGGCAUAACUCCCGGGAGCCUGGUCUCAUACCGGUAAUAUGUUCCUUUCGGUGAUUGAAGGUUGGAAAGUCGGCUAGCUGGCGAUUGCGCAUGGGGCCCCCGCGCAUUAGCUAGUUGGGGACGUAACGGCUCACCGAGGCGACGAUGCGUAGCCGACCUGAGGGGGUGAUCGGCCACACUGGGACUGAGACAUCGCCCAGACUCCUACGGGAGGCAACAUUAAGGAAUCUUCCGCAAUGGACGAAAGUCUGACGGAGCAACGCCACGUGAGCGAAGAAGGUCUUCGGAUCGUAAAGCUCUGUUGUCAGGGAGGAACAAGUACCGUUCGAACAGGGCGGUACCUUGACGGUACCUGACCAGAAAGCCACGGCUAACUACGUGCCAUCAGCCGCGGUAAUACGUAGGUGGCAAGCGUUGUCCGGGAAUUAUUGAGCGUAAAGCGCGCGCAGGCGGUCUCUUACGUCUGAUGUGAAAGCCCACGGCUCAACCGUGCAGGGUCAUUGGAAACUGCGAGACUUGAGUGCACAAUGACGAGAGCGGAAUUCCACGUGUAGCGCUGAAAUGCGUAGAGAUGUGGAGGAUCGUCAACUGACGAACGACGGCUCUCUGGACUGUAACUGAACGAUGAAGCCUCGAAUGCUCGGGGCAGCCAACAGCAUUAAAAUCCUGGUUAGUCACGCAGUCAUCGAUGAAGUGCCUAACGAUAAAGGCUUCAGCAUUGAUGACUGGCAGCUAACGGCAUUACAAGUCCAUUCACUGACUGUGAAGCUCGUUAUCGG